UAGCCAUGUGAUAAGCAAAUAAUGAACUAUUCUUUCGCCUUUUACUAAAGAGUAUUGUGCGCAUCUCACUUAAAGUGGGCGUGUGCUUAUUUUUUGAGGGUUUCUUCUUAUGGAGGGU